UGCCACAUCACUCCAGCUUUGUUGAAACCUUAUGUCUCAUCGUCUUCACCUUCUAUGUUUCUAUGUGUUUCUAACUUCUCUGAUUCUCAUCUAUAAGGUCGGGGACAACCUCAUAAAACCCUUUAUUUACUGCAACAAUCGAGACCAAGAAACUGUUGAGAAUCCCUCUGCUUUUCACUUAUUUAUACUCAUAUUCGCAUUCUCUUCCCCUCGCGCCGCAUCCAGGGCGACGCGUACAACCACAACCGCUCGACGAACCUCUGGAAGAUCGGAGGGUUCCUGACGAACAGCUACAGCCCCAAGAAGUUUCGAUCCAGGCACAAGAAGCUCUGCUUUGGGCCCACGACGAUGCCUGAUUGCGUCGUGGUGUUUGAUGCCGAGAGGAAGAGCUCGGUGAUUCUGGAGGCGGCGAAGCUUCAGAUUCCCGUGGUGGCGAUCGUGGAUCCGAAUGUGCCGUUGGAGUUCUUUGAGAAGAUUAUGUAUCCUGUGCCGGCGCGUGACUCAGGUGAAGUUUGUGUAUUUGUUUUGUAAUGUGAUUACGAAGUGCUUUGUGGCGGAGCAGAUGAAGAUGGGGAUCGAAGAUGGGGGCAUGGUCAAGGACUCAGCUACUUGAUUGAUUUGGUUAUGAUGAGUAACAAAGUUUGAAACUUUUUUUUUUAGUAUUGAAUAAUUGUUCUUCAGAAUUUGAAGUUCUGAGUGUUUAUUUUGCACAUUUGGAUGAUUUUGCUGAAAGGUUGUUCAUUUCUUGGAAAUGCUAUAUAGGAUAUUUGUAAGAAACAUGUUAGGUUUUAUGUCUAGCUAAAUGCCUUGGCUAUUCCAGUGUUAGACAAUGUAACCUGAGAUAUGGUUAAUACUUGGGAUAAGAACUCCUCCUGUGUAGACCCUCUUUACCAUAUAUGUUCUAUAUAUCCUUGACAUUGUUAAUGAAGCAAUGAGCUUGAUGUAGAUAACCAACUGUAUUGAAUAAUUGUUCAUCAAAAUUUGAAAAUCUGAGUGUUAUUUUGCAAUUAGGAAGUUUUGUAUGAGUCUUUUGUUCUUUGUCAAGUACAAACUUCUUAGACCAAUCCUUACAUGUCUAGAUCUUUGUAUGAGUCUUUUGUGAUCUUUGUAUGAGAAAGUUCUUUGUAUGAGAAAGUUCAAGAACAUGUAUAGAUUAUUUGUAAGAUCUUUGUAUGAGAAAGUUCUUUGUAUGUCUAGAUCUUUGAAUGUCUAGAUCUUUGUAUGAGAACAUUAGUCUAGACAUGUCCACUGGAUUAAUUAAUGAAUUCAAAUUUUAUAUACACUCAGGUUUUCUUUCUCCAAAAUUUGUUUUAGGGUUCUUCGAAAUUGGCUUUUCUAGGAAAAGCUCCAUUGACUUUGCAGAAUUCCUUACAGAAGCAGACCCAUUAAUUGUAUCUCUUCCUCUCAAGUUUUCCAACUCUGGUUACGAUUGAGAAGAUCCAAAUAGGCAUUGAUUUAAGUUAUUGCAGAUUUUUUAAGAUGAAAAUAAGGUCAAUACUUUCCAAAAAGGAUAGCUUCAGAUCAGCCUACCGAGCAAUGAUUAUUUAUAGGGAUAUAACGAAGACGAAUUGAGCUUAGAUGCUAACAUGGCUUAGACUGUUGGUUUAGGAGGUUCAACUGAUUCCAUUGAUGAAUCACGUGGAUGGAUGGUUCGGAAGGGAAUGCACACUCGCCAGUUCCUGCAUCAAUAACGCAUUAUUGUUUUUUGACCCCACUAAUAUUCAAUCCUGGAUACAAAUCAAAAUGGAAGAAUAAAGUCCAAACCUCUCUAGGUGCCCAAAGGAGUUGGAACUGAUUCCAAUGAAGGGUUCGACCUCAGUAGAAUGAAACGUCCCAUGCUUCGUCUCCACAAUCCUCAUCUCAAAAACAAGAUCCGUGGACGUAGCAGAUAUUGGAAAGAACUGGUGCUGACAAAAGGUUCAUAUAUUGUAUUUGGAUAAAAGAACAUGAUGAUUAUGAGUUUGUCACGGAAUCUCAUUGUCAGAUGUAGUCAACUUCUUGGAUGGUAUGUGAGAAUAGUUUUUUCUUUUCCAAGUUUAUAUUAAUGUCUCAGUUGUUACUGUUUGUUGUUCCCAUGAUUAUAUUAAAGAGGAUGCUCAUGAUUCAAUGGUGUACAGUUACUAAAAUGGCUUCUCAGGUUUUGGGGAAAAGCUUACGAAGUCCCAAGCUAAGCAAAUAGCAGGUACUUUGUCUUAAGUCUCAUUUUUCUUGGGUUUCUUAUUAAAUAAGGUUUUUAUUUACUUAAACUGCAUAGCAAACCAUCUCUUCAACUUUCUUUAACUGAUCACCCACGUCAUAUGCAUGUCUUUUAUUCCUUAACACCACAUCUAGCGACCCAUGUCUACUUUGACAAACAUACAGCAGCUGGCAAGAGCUUUUUCAGAGGCAUGUAUAUUUGACAUCAUCCAUUUUGUAGUUGAGAAGCUAUACCAGACUUUUAAACAUUUUAUCAGUUCGAAAUACCAAUGUACAAUGCAUUAGGUUGGAGUCUAAUGCCAACACUAACCCAGGAGCUGCUCCAUUCAGUCGUGUUUUUGCAAAGAUAUAUUGGGAAUGUGUUAUCACCUAUGCACCUCUGCCUUAUUAGUUGACCAUAAAGAUAACCACAAUGGUUCUGUCAUAAAAGGGAGGCAAUGGUGAAUCUGGUGACGAUAUGCCUGGAGUGGCGUCAGUGACUUCCAAACCCCACGUUGGUUACUGACAAGGCAGCUGACUCGACUGGUGGCCCAAGUGUAGGUGGUAAAUCACCCACCAAGAUGUUGCUCUCACCUGGCUCCAAUGCAACCAAGAAAGUCCCGCAUGGCUUAAAAUCCGAGAGGAUUCACUUUUUUCCCCAACCCCAGCUUCUAAAAUAAUGCAACAGCAGCUGGUUUUCUUUUUUCUAUUUCGUCCCCACACAGCUUAAACGUAUUUUCACAUUUCAGUUAACUUUAGUAUAAUUUUAUUUCAAGCUCAUAAACUUCUGGUCCUUCAAAUGUGUUCAAUCUAGCAACUAUUGGGUUUGUUAGGCUCCGACUUGAAUCCAUGUUAGGCUCUGACUUCAAUA